rnacentral:tRNA from 1 species
GGUGGCUCAGUGGUAGAGUGUUUGCCUUGCAUGCAUGAGGCGCUGGGUUCGAUUCCUCAGCACCA